ensembl:lncRNA
AGCCUCUGUGUGCUACAGACUCUACAGCCUCUGUGUGCUACAGACUCUACAGCCUCGGUACUCUACAGCCUCUGUGUGCUACAGCCUCUACAGCCUGUGUGCUACAGCCUCGGUGUGCUACAGACUCUACAUCCUCUUUGUGCUACAGCCUCUACAGCCUCUACAUCCUCUGUGUGCUACAGCCUCUACAUCCUCUGUCCUCUACAGCCUCUACAUCCUCGGUGUGCUACAGCCUCUACAGCCUCGGUGUGCUACAGCCUCUACAGCCUCUGUGCGCUACAGCCUUGGUGUGCAUGUGUGUCAUCUCAGACACCAGCUAG